rnacentral:rRNA from 1 species
UGGGGAAUAUUGCACAAUGGGCGCAAGCCUGAUGCAGCCAUGCCGCGUGUAUGAAGAAGGCCUUCGGGUUGUAAAGUACUUUCAGCGGGGAGGAAGGUGUUGUGGUUAAUAACCACAGCAAUUGACGUUACCCGCAGAAGAAGCACCGGCUAACUCCGUGCCAGCAGCCGCGGUAAUACGGAGGGUGCAAGCGUUAAUCGGACUUACUGGGCGUAAAGCGCACGCAGGCGGUCUGUCAAGUCGGAUGUGAAAUCCCCGGGCUCAACCUGGGAACUGCAUCCGAAACUGGCAGGCUUGAGUCUUGUAGAGGGGGGUAGAAUUCCAGGUGUAGCGGUCAAAUGCGUAGAGAUCUGGAGGAAUACCGGUGGCGAAGGCGGCCCCCUGGACAAAGACUGACGCUCAGGUGCGAAAGCGUGGGGCACAAACA